UGGGAGCAUACUUGUCUUCCUCAUACUAUACGUCGAUGACAUCCUCCUUAUUGGGAAUAAUAUUCCUAUGCUGACUUCGAUCAAGGCUUAGUUUGUUAGAUGUGUACCUUAGAAGCCAAUUUGAUCGAUACAUAUCUUUCUGUAGGGCAUGUUUUAUAUUUGAUGGGCAGUCUUUAUAAUCAAUCAUGUCUUAUGUGUCCAUGACUUAUCC
rnacentral:lncRNA from 1 species